CCUGAGCAUCUAUCUACCAUUUCGUGUGGCGAAGACUGGCUUCACCACCGGACAGACAUCUUUGGAGUUUUAUGAAGGAGUCAACAACAUUGUGACUUGACUACAUUAGUUUUCAAACUCCAAUCAGUGGCACUCUUCAGAGAGGACGAGGAGAUUGCGAUAAUUGACAGCAUUGAAAUGACCAAGUCUCCCACUCCCAUGCUGGUGACAAAUAACACCUUCCAAGAUGUCAUGACCACAAGAGAAAUAGCACACUGCUCUUCUUUCAGAAGGAAAUCCAAAAGUGCCAGCAUCUGCCUGCGAACUUGCAAAAUUUACUUUUAAAUUUUAUUUAUACAUCAAAUACAUUUGUUAAUUAUA